GACGAACGCUGGCGGCGUGCUUAACACAUGCAAGUCGAACGGAAGGGCCCUGCUUGCCGGGUACUCGAGUGGCGAACGGGUGAGUAACACGUGGGUGAUCUGCCCUGCACUUCGGGAUAAGCCUGGGAAACUGGGUCUAAUACCGGAUAGGAGCCAUUUUUAGUGUGAUGGUUGGAAAGUUUUUUCGGUGUAGGAUGAGCUCGCGGCCUAUCAGCUUGUUGGUGGGGUAAUGGCCUACCAAGGCGGCGACGGGUAGCCGGCCUGAGAGGGUGGACGGCCACAUUGGGACUGAGAUACGGCCCAGACUCCUACGGGAGGCAGCAGUGGGGAAUAUUGCACAAUGGGCGCAAGCCUGAUGCAGCGACGCCGCGUGGGGGAUGACGGCCUUCGGGUUGUAAACUCCUUUCGCUAGGGACGAAGCUUUUUGUGACGGUACCUAGAUAAGAAGCACCGGCUAACUACGUG
rnacentral:rRNA from 1 species